UGAAAGAGGGGGACGGUGGGGGGGGGCGGCUACCUGUGAACAAACAUUGGCAGCGGAGGGAAAAUAAGUGUUCCUGGACUUUGGACUAGUUUACAGCCAGAUAGUCUAAAAGCAGUGAAACACUGCUCUCUGUAGUCCCUGAAAACAAAUGAGACCCAUAACACACUUGCCUAAGCUUUUAAAACAGAAAUUGGUGCAGCACUAGGAAAGCUGUUCACCUCACUCCAUCUCAAUAUAGUUUGCUUUUCUUCCUCUUCUGAGACAGCUUUCGUAUUGCUGAGCACAGUCUCACACACUUUCCUGUUAGAGAAUUUGGUUUGCUCUUCUCAUCUGUUUAACCCUUCCCGCGUUCCUAUGCGAAAGCCUAUGGAUGUAUUGAUGAACACACACGUACACACACACACUUGACUAUGAAAAAUUCCGUUCGCGUUCGCUUUCCUAAUCUGUUCAACUAUUCAUUCAUGAAGCGCGUCGUGAGGCCAUUACUGGGGAAGGAAUGACAGUGCCCUGGCCAGCAACAUACCAGGGACCAGGACUGAGCAAGGACCGCAUUUGAGAAGCCGAAAUGGCAAAAGCAUUUAAAAUUUGAGAACGCCUCCAAAGGAAAACAGCAAGUCUAGGGAUUUGUGCUUCAUUUAUAACCAAAGUUGGAAAAGUGAGACUUAAGCCCAGAAAGACCAAGGGCAGGUAGGAGGGACAAAGCUUUGAAUAACUGCUUGCUGAUACCACCGCAUGUGGCAAACAGGACCGAGACCAUUACACAUCCGAGGCAGGUGUGAGAAUGGUGGAAACUGCCUCAGAAACCAAAUGGAUCGUACCUGUGUCCUAGAGGAACUGGCUUUGCUGAAGGGCUCCUAGAUCAUCUAUAUUCUUGCUGGCAGUGUCAGGCUGACCAGUUGGUAAAGGCUAACAGGUAAGACCUCGGGUAAUCCUUGAGACUGGGUGUAAUCUACAGAUUCUGCAUUGAAACUCAUGGUACUCACCUGGGAGAGCCUCCACCAGCUGUCCAAGUAGCUUUCCCAAGUAGCUCUGCACUCAGAAUGCAGCUUCUGGGUGAGUGAACAGUCACAGGCAUUUUACAUGUGGUUAGAGAGCAGGCUUGGGUAUUUUGCUAACCUAUGUGCUGCAAGUAAACAUUUCCAAAAACAUUGCAUAACCUGAAUACAGAGUUAAAUACUGUUUUCUAGUAACUACUGGCUUCAGCAUUUUUUCAAAAAUCAAAGAAUGGUAUAUUUCACGCAGACGGGAAAACUAAACCAAGAAAUGAAACUUGAGCCGUCAUAAAACAAAGAUUCAGGGCUGCUGAAUUUCAAUAAUGGGCACCUAGGGUACAUUAAGAGCAAGUGUGCAAGGACCGGGUCAUGAUGGAAUCUGAUACAGGAUGGAAAAAGCUUCUUGAGCAGAAACACUGGGCCCUCUCCUAAGACGUUGACUUCAGGUGAACCACAUGAUGUACUGAGACGGCAAUUUCAUUUGGUUCAAAUACACAUUUCAAACCUUUCUCUAGACGUUCAGUUCACAAUAUGAGUUAAAAUUCCACUGAUGUAAUUCCAGUAGGAAAAAAAAAAAAUGAAAAUUUUGGGGUAGUCAGAUGUUCUUCUAUAGGUUUACUCCUUUAGGGAACAAACCCUUCCUGGGUAUAUAAUGCUGAAAAAACUGCCAGAGUUGCCACCCUAUUAGAAUUAGUUUCCAUCCAGGCCCCAUAUGUAUUAAGAGAACCAACUUCAAUGUUUAAAUUUUUACCUCAAGUUGACUCAGUUUCCCCUUUAUCGAAAUGGCUAUAUUGCCUCUAGAAUUAAAGCCAAAGGGGAAAGCAAUUUUUUUAAUGAUUCUCUUCUACCAACUUGUUCUUGAAACUAGUCACGUCUAAUGUCCUUCUCCCAUUUUUUUUUUUUUAAACCUUUGGCUACUCAAGAUACGCCAGCAUUUCUACUUAGUAACUAGCAUAUUAUUAUGGGGUGUGUGAAGAGUCACCCUCUUUACAGGAACAAUUCUAUUCUUACAUUUUCUUUCCUGUUCGGUUGCUUGAAAUCUUCAAAUAACUCAAUGUUCUGAUUGUACAGUAUCCUGCAAUUCCUGUGUAUUUUACCUGUUUUAUCUUCCAAUGUGCUUUUCUCUCUUGGCACAGUAACAAUUCAGAGAUGCCAUCUAAAUGCACUAUGCCACUGAUGACUGUAGCCAGUGAUUUUAAGUAUAACUAAACUAUCUUCAGGUUGAAAAAAGCACAAGCUAAAAAAAAAAAAAAGACUACAUCUUAACUAAAGGCAAGGGACAAACCAACUAAUGAACAGUUAGUUUGAAAAUGCUUUCAGGCCUAUCAGAUUUGGUUGAAAAC
ensembl:lncRNA